GAUGAGCUCGCGUCUGAUCAGCUAGUAGGGGCGUAACUGGCCCACCAAGGCUUUUGACGGGUGGGAGGCGUGAGAGGGUGGUCGGCCACAUGGGGACUGAGACACUGCCCCAACUCGUACGGGAGGGGGCAGUUGAGCAUAUUUAGCAAUGGGCGAAAGCCUGACUAUGCGACGCCGCGUGAGGGAUGAAGGUUUUCGGAUCGUAAACCUCUUUCGAUGCGAAAGAAACUCCGCUGUUGAAAUAACGGCGGACUGACGGUACCCAGAGAAGAAGCCACGGCCAACUCCGUGCCAGCAGCCGCGGUAAUACGGGGGUGGCGAGCGUUACUCGGAUUUAUUGGGUGUAAAGGGCAGGUAGGCGGGCCGAAAAGUCCCCUUUGAAAUCCUCCGGCUUAACCGGAGAACUGGAGGGGAAACUUUCGGUCUUGAGGCCAACAGAGGAGAGUGGAAUUCCCGGUGUAAGGGUGAAAUCUGUAGAUAUCGGGAGGAACACCAGUGGCGAAGGCGGCUCUCUGGGUUGGCCCUGACGCUCAAGCUGCGAAAGCUAGAGUAGCAAACAGGAUUAGAUACCCUGGUAGUUCUAGCCGUAAA
rnacentral:rRNA from 1 species